CGCACUCUCCCAGCCUCUGUCACCUUAGGCGCGGGCUCCAGGCAAGAGAGGGAGCCGGGCUACGCGUCUGGUUUCCAGCCAAGCCAUUGUCGUUUCCUGCGCCCGGAGUCUGUAGGUGUGAACAACUUCCCCUUGGAGCAGCUCCUGGCGCGGUUGGAGCUGGGCGCUAGAGAGUGUCCAGGGCCCUGGGACACUCUGCACCUCUCCGGAAGGCAUGCUUUUCCCGCACCUGUGCUGGAGAGCCUCGGGAGUGACCAUCACACGUGUGUUCAUGAGAUUCCUCGCCACUCGGGUGUCCGGGCUGCAGGUCUCAGAAGGCCAGCGGGAAUCUGAAAGCAGUUGUCUUCCAGUCCACCCACAGCAUGCAGAAGCACCGCCUCAGGCUUCAGAAGCUGUGGGAGUCCAGGAAGUAGAAAUGAAGAAGCCGGUGUGCUCUGGAGUCUGAGAUUUCUGCCCCGGGAUUCAGGAUUCAGGGGUGGCACCAGGUAGGGAAUCUCUGUCAUCUCUGGAGACAACACCUUUCAGAACAGGGGCCCCUGAGCCCCUGGGGACAGGGAGCGUGGGGGCUCCUGAGCUCUUGAGCCUGUAGGGGCUGGGAGCAUGGUGGCCUGUGGGAGCCUGCUCCCGGGGAACAUGGGACAGAGAGUGUGGGAACCUGCUCCUGGGGGCCCUGUGCUUUUAAGUUCUUGGUUGUUCACCCCAUGCUGGGUGCUCAGCUGACUGAGGGUCUCUGUUUUCCUGGCACUCAGGCAGCAGUGUCCCAGGAGUCGGGAGAAAGCUUGAGGGGAGUCCUGGGGCUGGAGUAGGGGCUGUGUGUGCCUGCCUUAAACAGAGUCUUUCUGCUGGAGCCAUUUGGCCUGUGUGCUCUGUGGGAAGCCACAUCUCCCGGGGGCUUCUGGCCCCCCUUCUUGGCUGGUGUUUCACUUAGCUCUUGAGAAGGCUGGGAUGAGGUCCUAGGACCCAGUAACCCCCAGGCUGCUGCUGCCCCUCCUUGUAGCCUCACAAAGAAACCCACCAACCCUGGCUUCUCCAGGGAGUUACUGCUGUG
rnacentral:lncRNA from 1 species